rnacentral:rRNA from 1 species
GAUUUCUGGUCUAGUGCGCCUGGCCCACUGCCGUUAGGUUUGUGAGUGCCGGUGCGCGCUUGCCAUCUUUUCUAGUCAGCACACUUCUGUCCUUUACUGGUCGGAGGUGCUGUGGGCUAGAUCUAUUACUUUGAAAAAAUUAGAGUGUUUAAAGCAGGCUUGCGCUAUGAAUAUAUUAGCAUGGAAUAAUAAUUUAGGACUUUGGUCUUAUUUUGUUGGUUUCUAGGACUAAAGUAAUGAUUGAUAGGGACAGUUGGGGGUGCUAGUAUUCAGCGGCCAGAGGUGAAAUUCUUGGAUUCGCUGAAGACUAACUUAUGCGAAAGCAUU